GACGAACGCUGGCGGCGUGCUUAACACAUGCAAGUCGAACGGAAAGGCCCUGCUUUUGUGUGGUUCUCGAGUGGCGAACUGGGGAGUGAAACGUGAGUAACCUGCCCUUGACUUUGGGAUAACUUCAGGAAACUGGGGCUAAUACCGGAUAGAAGCCCCCGUAGCAUGGUGUGCGUUGGAAAGUUUCGGCGGUUGGGGAUGGACGCGCGGCUUUUGAGCUUGUUGGUGGGGUAGAGGCUUACCAAGGCUUUGCGGGGUAGCCGGCCUGCGAGGGUGACCGGCCACAGUGGGACUGAGAUACGGCCCAGAGUCCUACGGGAGGCAGCAGUGGGGAACAUUGCACAAUGGGCGGAAGCCUGAUGCAGCGACGCCGCGUGCGGGAUGACGGCCUUCGGGUUGUAAAACGCUUUCGCCUGUGACGAAGAGUGAGUGACGGUAAUGAGUAAAGAAGCACCGGCUAACUACGUG
rnacentral:rRNA from 1 species